rnacentral:lncRNA from 1 species
AAUUCAACUUUUAUGUGCAUGUGAUAUGAGGAUACAUUAUAGGUCAUUUUGGACCAAUGUCAUUGAACAAAUGAUUUUCCUCAACUUCAAAAAUGAAUAACUCCUUCAUAUUAAAUCCAAAUGAUGUCAAAUUUGUGACCAUUAUGAAGGAAUUUGAGAGAGCUACAACUUUGAUAAAGGAAUUUUUCUCAUUUGAAGCUCACAUAAAAAGUUAUCCAAGGUGGAAUAAGUGAACA